ensembl:snRNA U6 U6 spliceosomal RNA
GUGCUUUCUUUGGCAGCACAUACACUAAAAUGGAGCUAUACAGAGAAGAUUAGCAUGGUUCCUGCACAUGGAGGUCAUGCAAAUUUGAGAGGCAUUCCAUAUUUUA